CAACAACGGGUGGAGCCUGCGGUUUAAUUGGACUCAACGCCGGACAACUCACCGGGGACGACAGCAAUAUGUAGGCCAGGCUGAAGACCUUGCCUGAAUCGCUGAGAGGAGGUGCAUGGCCGUCGCCAGUUCGUACUGUGAAGCAUCCUGUUAAGUCAGGCAACGAGCGAGACCCGUGCCCACUGUUACCAGCAUGUCCUCCGGGACGAUGGGUACUCUGUGGGGACCGCCGAUGUUAAAUCGGAGGAAGGUGCGGGCCACGGUAGGUCAGUAUGCCCCGAAUUUCCCGGGCUACACGCGGGCUACAAUGAAUGGGACAAUGGGUCCCUACCCUGAAAAGGGCUGGUAAUCUCCCAAACCCAUCCGUAGUUCGGAUCGAGGGCUGUAACUCGCCCUCGUGAAGCUGGAAUCCGUAGUAAUCGCGUUUCAAUAUAGCGCGGUGAAUACGUCCCUGCUCCUU
rnacentral:rRNA from 1 species